AUGAAUAUAGUUUAAAUGGUAAAACAUAAUUAUGCCAAAAUUAAAAAUGCGCGUUCAAAUCGCGUUGUUCAUA
rnacentral:tRNA from 1 species